UGAUAGCUGUGAUUCGUGAGGUUGCUGCACCGGUUGCAGGUUAUUUACGAGGAGCGAAUGUCAAGUUAGGAAACUGGCGACAA
rnacentral:ncRNA from 1 species